AUCGUUUUGUAGUUCGUAAGUGUGAUGAUUGGAUGUUCACGCUGUUGUGUGACAUGUGCCUCCCUCAAACAUUGUUGUGACAUCAGCAUGUUACUGUCCAACA
rfam:Canis lupus familiaris chromosome 11, whole genome shotgun sequence.